ensembl:lncRNA
AGUGAAACAACCUCUGGCUGCCCUUCGAAGCCCCCCAGCUGGAUGUGGGGGGCUCAACCUGGGUCCCCGAAGUGAGAUCCCUGGCUGUGCUGACUGUGGCGCAGUCAUGGGGGGUGCUGGCCCCCAUGUCCAUGACUGGAGAUCUGAACGGAUUGAACCCUGUGGCAUUAGUUGCAGCACACGGCAGAGCCCCCAGGUGACUUGUGAAACUCACAUUCCUGCCACAGAGACCACCCCAGCUGCAGGAGUGAAUGUCGUAGUAGUAGUUGACGGGAACUGUAUCCUCCAAUAUACCCAUCGUCAGUCACCUUGUUCCUGCCUUUCUGAUGGGCAGCCUCUCUUGCCCCGACGCCCUCCACCAACUUACGGUGCUGUACCCCCCAGUCCCAUUAUCCCCAGAGGCCCAGCUUGCGGCCAAGAAGCUGGACCAGCCCCAUCACGCAGGACCCGUGGACUCAGCGUCCGCUGUUGCACCAAAGCCUGUCUGGGCGAUGAAGAGGAACAUGCCGAGCGGCACCUCCAUCGGGGCCCAACCUGCAGCCGCCUUACCCCCGUGCCCUUGCCCUGCAGCCCUUCUGGGCCCUGGUUUGGAGUAGGAUCCCUCAGUGGAGGCAGGCGAGGGGCUCGGGUUGUGAAGAUCUGGGACCGGCACCGAUGCCCUUUAUUGGAAGAAGGAGAUGUCAUCGCCAAGGUGAAUGGGGCUGACGUCCGAGAUCUGAGCCCUGGAGAAGUGGAGAGUGUGUUGCAGGAGCAUAUGCGAACAGGAGAUGUGAUCCUUCUGGUGGAAAGGAAAGGUGAGCGACAUCAGCUCCAAGAACACAGGCUGUGUGGCUUUCUCCCUAAGUCUCUUGCUUAGCUCUGCCAGGCUGGGUUGGCAUUUUGCUUCACUUGCCUUUAUGCCUGGGUUGAUCCUGACAGCUGGAAGCAAUCAGGAGGGAGAGCUCUGAUCACUGCUUGGGGGGGAGGGGGGUGACAAAGGAUCAGAGUUCAAAUUCUCUGCCAAAGAAGCAGCACUCUAUAACUGUCAGACAAGGAAUUCAUGUUUAUAUGUAAGUUACAUAAAAUUAAGUUAACACAGUUUGCAAAAUGGCUGUAAGCAUGGUGCCAUUAUUGCCAAGAACAAGGCCCUCAUAUCUCAUUUUAGUCACAGUUGGAAUCUGAUCUUAAACACACACCUACAUUAAAAUCUUCCCUUAGGCACAGUUUUCAUAAGAGCAGCAACACUACAUGCUUAGUACAGAUGCAACAGCGUUUCCUACAAUGAAUGAUGCAUGAAGGGAAGACACAUAUCUUAAAACAUCCAUUUAUGUACAUUGGAGAGCUGAGGCCUAAUAGAAAUUCCCAGGGUGCUUCGUUCUGGUUAUUGAAGAAUGCAUAUCUCUUAUAAUUCAUAUUGCAUUCUUGCAUCAGUAGACACUAAAAACAUUCCUGUAUCCAAGGCCAUCCCAAGACACUUUGAUGCUGAGGCCAAGGUUGAGAAGCUGCAUUCUUCCAUCCCAUGUGCAGAAACCUUACAACUCUAAUUUCAACACUGGCAAUGGUCCAUCACCACACCUGAGAACAGUUAAAAGGUGUACACAUGGUCCUUGCAUCAAAGGGAAAUGAAGAAAGAGCUAAUAAUACCUGCAGUAUCUGCUGCCUGAAAUGUUUGCUUCAGUUACUCAAUGAUGGGACUAGUCUUCCCGGAUUCAAAUGCAGUCCCAUUGCUAUGGGAGGUAGGAGAUGCCUUUGAGUCAGUGUUGACUCAACUAUGUGAACUAUUCUAUGCCAUUUUCAUAGCAAGGUUUUUCAGAAGUUGUUUGCCUUUGCUUUCUUCUUAGAGCUGAGAGAGUGAAUGACUAGCCCAAGUCACUCAACUGGCUUCAUAUCUAAGGUAGAACGGUAGUCGUGGUCUCCCAGUUUCUAGACUUGUGUCUAAACCAUUACACCAAACUCGCAUUCAAAAGAUGUUAGAGUAGCCAUUAUGCAUGUAAGCUUGGACACCCAUUUCAACACAUUAAUGCUGCUUUGCUCAUGCUCACUCCAUCAUGCCAUCAGUGCCUUCCAACAGAAGAAGCCUUGAAGCAAGAGUACAUCAGUCUUGGUUCUGGCAAAGAACCUUGUUCUUGCCCAACACAGCUCUUAUCCACACACAAUAUUCAACAGUUCCGGUUCGGAUCAGAAGCUGCCGGAUUUUAUCAUAAAUGCUGGAUGUUUCUUCUAACUGGGGUAUAAAUGUUGAAAAUAGGUAAAUGGCUUGCCUGUGACACUCAUGCCACUUCAUUCCACAAGUGAGUUGUAAUAGUACUGUAUUAAGUGAGAAAAAUAUACUCUGAGAUCUGAGAAAAUGGGGCAAUAGCCCGGUUAUAUUUCUCUCUUGAGGGAACAUUGUAGAAGGCAAUGAAAAACUUUUAUGCAAAAACUGUAUCAUUUUUUAAUGAAAUUUCAGAUUGUGCAAUACUGAUUUUGAUUCUUCUCAUGAUCUCCUAUUUCCCAUUCUAUAGCAUUUUGAAUUUUAACAGUUGAACUAUUGGAAUAUGUGUGCAUGAUUUUUGUUUCAUCUGUUCAAAGGGAUCGCCUUUAUUGUUUAGUCAGCUUCCCCAACCUGGAAAUUUGGGAAGUUAUACAAGUAAUUUUCAUAGUUCUCACUUACCAACUGCCUUGUGCACCAGUCAUUCAAAGUUACAACAGUGCUAGAAAAAAUAAAUUGGGACCAAUUUCUAUAUAUGUGACUUUCACAGCAUUCCUCAAUCACUGAUCACCAUUUGCGUACUUUGCAACCGGCUUGCAACAGGCAGACUUAAUAUAGAAGGUAGAAGUAAAAGCAUUAGUCACGGUCAAAUGAUUCUUCAAUUAGGGACUGUAUUGCUUCACUUAAUGACCAAAAGGGAAUUAAAGUCAUAAGCCCAGUGUUGGCCACAUGAUUUUCCUCUUAGAGUUGCUAAGUUGCCAGUCCCAACUGAGGCUGCUAAGUGAAGACUAUCUGUAUUGCAUUGCACGUUCACCAAAUUAGAAAAGACUGGAUUAAAUAAUGAUGUUAGUAUACAGUUAACUAAAUGCUUUUAUAUAGCAGCACUUAAAAAGUCAAAAGUACAGGUAGUUCUCAAGUUACAACCAUAGCUGGGCCCAAAAUUUAUGUUUAAAGCAAAAGCUUUGCCCCAUUUUUAUCAUCUAUCUUGCCACAGUUUUUAAGUGAAUCACUGCAGUUGUUAAGUUAAUAACACAGUUGCAAAGUGAAUCUGGCUUCUCCAUUGACUUUACUUGUCAGAAGAUCACAAAAUGUGAUUGCAGGACCCCGGCACACUACAACUGUCAUAAAUAUGAGUUAGUUGCCAAGUCCAAAUCAUAGGACUAUGGGGAUGCUAUAACAGUUUUAAGACUGGAAAAUAGUUGGAAGUUACUUUUCUCAGUGCUGUUGUAACUUUGAACAGUCAUUAAAUGAAUGGUUGUAAGUUGAGGACUACCUGUAUUCAUAUUUCAUACCAAAUCAUGGUUUUCGGCAUUUCAAAAGCUAACUGUAGACUCCACUGAUACUCAUGUUUUUCUUCUCUUUUGAAAUCACAAGAAGGAAAUCAGAAGUUUCUAUCUGGGAUUUAAAAAAUAAAGUCUUCUUCAAGAUGAGCUUAAACUUCUGCAGGAUUUAAGGAUAUAUCCAUGUAAUUUUUUUUGAUAGCAGAAUCGAUCUGUCAUUUCAGCUGUAGCCCUGGUGUUCCCUGGAGGUUUCCCAUCUAACUGCAAACCAGAUGUAGGUGCUUCU